ACACAUGCAAGUCGAGGGGCAGCAUGAAGUUUGCUUGCAAACUUUGAUGGCGACCGGCGCACGGGUGAGUAACGCGUAUCCAACCUUCCCUAUAGUAGAGAAUAGCCCGGCGAAAGUCGGAUUAAUGCUCUAUGUUAUUCAAAGCGGACAUCUAAUUUGAAUCAAAGGUUCACCGCUAUAGGAUGGGGAUGCGUCUGAUUAGCUUGAUGGCGGGGUAACGGCCCACCAUGGCGACGAUCAGUAGGGGUUCUGAGAGGAAGGUCCCCCACAUUGGAACUGAGACACGGUCCAAACUCCUACGGGAGGCAGCAGUGAGGAAUAUUGGUCAAUGGGCGAGAGCCUGAACCAGCCAAGUAGCGUGCAGGAUGACGGCCCUAUGGGUUGUAAACUGCUUUCAUGCGGGGAUAAAGUCGGCUACGCGUAGCCGUUUGUAGGUACCGCAUGAAUAAGGACCGGCUAAUUCCGUGCCAGCAGCCGCGGUAAUACGGAAGGUCCGGGCGUUAUCCGGAUUUAUUGGGUUUAAAGGGAGCGCAGGCCGGAGGUCAAGCGUGACGUGAAAUGUAGCCGCUCAACGGCUGAGUUGCGUCGCGAACUGGUUUCCUUGAGUGAGUACGACGUCAGCGGAAUUCGUGGUGUAGCGGUGAAAUGCUUAGAUAUCACGAAGAACCCCGAUUGCGAAGGCAGCUGACGAGUCCUUUACUGACGCUAAAGCUCGAAGGUGCGGGUAUCGAACAGGAUUAGAUACCCUGGUAGUCCGCACGGUAAACGAUGGAUGCCCGCUGUUUGCGAUAUAUUGUAAGCGGCCAAGCGAAAGCGUUAAGCAUCCCACCUGGGGAGUACGCCGGCAACGGUGAAACUCAAAGGAAUUGACGGGGGCCCGCACAAGCGGAGGAACAUGUGGUUUAAUUCGAUGAUACGCGAGGAACCUUACCCGGGCUUGAACUGCAGGAGAACGAUCCAGAGAUGGUGAGGCCCUUCGGGGCUCCUGUGGAGGUGCUGCAUGGUUGUCGUCAGCUCGUGCCGUGAGGUGUCGGCUUAAGUGCCAUAACGAGCGCAACCCCUUUCGCCAGUUGCCAUCAGGUGAUGCUGGGCACUC
rnacentral:rRNA from 1 species